rnacentral:rRNA from 1 species
CGGAGGAAGGUGGGGAUGACGUCAAAUCAUCAUGCCCCUUAUGUCUUGGGCUUCACGCAUGCUACAAUGGCCGGUACAGAGGGCUGCUAUACCGUGAGGUGGAGCGAAUCUCAAAAAGCCGGUCUCAGUUCGGAUUGGGGUCUGCAACUCGACCCCAUGAAGUCGGA